rnacentral:rRNA from 1 species
CCUACGGGAUGCAUCAGUGGGGAAUAUUGCACAAUGGGGGAAACCCUGAUGCAGCGACGCCGCGUGAACGAGACGCCCUUCGGGGUGUAAAGUUCUGUCAGUGGGGACGAAAAAUGACGGUACCCACAGCGGAAGCACCUGCGAACUCCGUGCCAGCAGCCGCGGUAAUACGGAGGGUGCAAGCGUUGUCCGGAAGCAUUGGGCGGAAAUAGUUCGUAGGCGGCAUGUAAAGUCAGGUGUGAAAGGCGCAGGCUCAACCUGUGUAUGGCACUUGUUACUUGCAAGCUGGAAUGCGGUAGAGGUAAAGGGAAUUCCUGGUGUAGCGGUGAAAUGCUUAGAGAUCAGGAGGAACAUCGGUGGCGUAAGCGCUUUACUGGGCCGUAAUUGACGCUGAGGAACGAAAGCCAGGGUAGCAAAUGGGAUUAGAUACCCUGGUAGUC